GAUGAACGCUGGCGGCGUGCUUAACACAUGCAAGUCGAACGGUGAAGCAGUGCUUGCUCUGUGGGUCAGUGGCGAACGGGUGAGUAACACGCGAGCAACCCCCCCCUUUCUCUUGGGUAAGCCCUGGCAACGGCGUCUAAUACUGCAUAUGAGCUCCCCCCGCACGGUGAGCGGUUGGAAAGAUUUUUCGGUCUGGGAUGGGCUCACGGCCUAUCAGCUUGUUGGUGAGGUAAUGGCUCACCAAGGCGUCGACGGGUAGCCGGCCUGAGAGGGUGACCGGCCACACUGGGACUGAGACACGGCCCAGACUCCUACGGGAGGCAGCAGUGGGGAAUAUUGCACAAUGGGCGGAAGCCUGAUGCAGCAACGCCGCGUGCGGGAUGACGGCCUUCGGGUUGUAAACCGCUUUUGGCAGGGAAGAAGCGAGAGUGACGGUACCUGCAGAAAAAGCACCGGCUAACUACGUG
rnacentral:rRNA from 1 species